CGCACCUUGCGCCCUCUGGUAUUCCGGAGGGCAUGCCUGUUUGAGUGUCUUGAUAUCAUCAACCCCUCGGGUUCGCGCCCGAAGCGGGUUGGAUUUGGGGGCUUGCUGCCGUGAGGCGGCUCCCCUUAAAAUCAUCGGUUCGGCCCGCACUGCGGCUGGCACCUUUGGCGUUGUAUCUCCCUCGCCUUUGAUCGGUCCUGCUCGCUUCCGCGCCUCACCUCGACUUGCCCUUUGGGUGGCGGUCACUUCUUGACAAUCUGGCCUCAAAUCAGGUAGGACUACCCGCUGAACUUAA
rnacentral:misc_RNA from 1 species